CUCUGUAGCUCAGUUGCAUGGUUAGAGCGCUGCACCGGAAUCGCAUGCAUUGCCGCAGGUUCAAUUCCUGCAGCCAGGGA